UACGUAGGGCGCAAGCGUUGUCCGGAAUUAUUGGGCGUAAAGAGCUCGUAGGCGGUUUGUCGCGUCUGCUGUGAAAACCUGAGGCCCAACCUCGGGCUUGCAGUGGGUACGGGCAGACUAGAGUGCGGUAGGGGUGACUGGAAUUCCCGGUGUAGCGGUGGAAUGCGCAGAUAUCAGGAGGAACACCGAUGGCGAAGGCAGGUCACUGGGCCGCAACUGACGCUGAGGAGCGAAAGCAUGGGGAGCGAACAGG
rnacentral:rRNA from 1 species